rnacentral:snRNA from 11 species
AGCUUUGCGCAGUGGCAGUAUCGCAGCCAAUGAGGUUUAUCCGAGGCGUGAUUAUUGCUAAUAAAUAGUGCAGGGCUGGUCAUCAGCACCACAGAGUGAUACGAGAAGAAAGAGAAAUCAUGUACUGUUAUUAUGUCCUACAUCUUCUUUCUGGCCUUUGGAAGAGUAUGGGACCACU